rnacentral:tRNA from 1 species
GGGGAUGUAGCUCAGCUGGCUAGAGUGCUUGACUGGCAGUCAAGAGGUCGUGGGUUCGAGUCCCAUCUUCUCCACGA